rnacentral:rRNA from 1 species
AGAUUAAGUUAUUAAGGGCGCACGGUGGAUGCCUUGGCACUAGAAGCCGAUGAAGGACGUUACUAACGACGAUAUGCUUUGGGGAGCUGUAAGUAAGCUUUGAUCCAGAGAUUUCCGAAUGGGGAAACCCAGCAUGAGUUAUGUCAUGUUAUCGAUAUGUGAAUACAUAGCAUAUCAGAAGGUACACCCGGAGAACUGAAACAUCUUAGUACCCGGAGGAAGAGAAAGAAAAUUCGAUUCCCUUAGUAGCGGCGAGCGAAACGGGAAGAGCCCAAACCAACAAGCUUGCUUGUUGGGGUUGUAGGACACUCUAUACGGAGUUACAAAGGACGACAUUAGACGAAUCAUCUGGAAAGAUGAAUCAAAGAAGGUAACAAUCCUGUAGUCGAAAAUGUUGUCUCUCUUGAGUGGAUCCUGAGUACGACGGAGCACGUGAAAUUCCGUCGGAAUCUGGGAGGACCAUCUCCUAAGGCUAAAUACUCUCUAGUGACCGAUAGUGAAC